rnacentral:rRNA from 1 species
UACAGAGGUCUCAAGCGUUGUUUGGAUUCAUUGGGCGUAAAGGGCGUGUAGGCGGUUAUUUAAGUCAGGUGUGAAAGCCCUGGGCUUAACCUAGGAAUUGCGCUUGAGACUGGAUAGCUUGGAGUGCGGCAGAGGGAGGUGGAAUUCCACGUGUAGCAGUGAAAUGCGUAGAGAUGUGGAGGAACACCGAUGGCGAAGGCAGCCUCCUGGGCCAGCACUGACGCUCAUGCACGAAAGCGUGGGGAGCAAACGGG